CCGCCGUCGCCAGCACUAGAUCCACCAGAACCCACAACAACGAGGGUGAGGUCCGUGACCUUCAGUGAAGAAGUGUCAGCAGCGGACUCUGAAGAGGUCUCCGUAAGGCAGCGCUCUGCAUCUGACGUCGAAGCCAGCAACAGCGCGGUGCUCCAAGGCCAGGCGACGAACGCUUCGUCCGACUUCGGCCAGAGCAGCUGCUGAGAAAAGCUCGUCACGCCUGCACUUGUCUUCGAGGAACGAAAUGUUUCCGUCCCCGCUCUUCGGUCCGGCGUCUUGGCUGACAUGUCUUUCUCCUGCAUGUUGCAUCUUCGCUACAGAGCACACCUGCAUUCUUCAUUACCCUUGUGAUGCAUGGCUUUAAAUAUUUAUGCACAUGAAUGAGCAUGCUUGCCAAUGCUUGUGCAUCCCCUAUUUGAGGAAUAAAGCUUUCAUUUUAGCCUUCA
rnacentral:lncRNA from 1 species